GGAGCCUACGGGGGGCAGCAGUGGGGAAUAUUGCACAAUGGGGGGAACCCUGAUGCAGCGACGCCGCGUGAGUGAAGAAGUAUUUCGGCAUGUAAAGCUCUAUCAGCAGGGAAGAAGAUGACGGUACCUGACUAAGAAGCCCCGGCUAACUACGUGCCAGCAGCCGCGGUAAUACGUAGGGGGCAAGCGUUAUCCGGAUUUACUGGGUGUAAAGGGAGCGUAGACGGCAGGGCAAGUCUGGAGUGAAAGCCCGGGGCCCAACCCCGGGACUGCUUUGGAAACUGUAUGGC
rnacentral:rRNA from 1 species